AAAGAGCAAGUUACACUACAGCUUCAGCCCCGAGAUGUCCAUGCAAGUCCUACAGUGUGCUGACCUAGCCUGCCUUCCCCAAAGGCUGUGGCUGGUUUCGGAGCAGCCGGGGAAAGAGCUGCCAUCCGGGGGUAAUUUGUCUUGGCUGUGUUCACAGCCCGGCCCUGGUGGGUGUAGGAGAUGAUAGGCAGAAAGAUUGCCUCCAUUCAAAUCACGAUGCCUAAGGGUAACUCUCCAGGGUGAUGGCUAAGAGGAGCGUGGAAUUUAAGAAAAUAAACAAACCAAAAUUAGUAUUAAGGGAGAAUUCCCUGGAGGGGGAAGGAGACGCAAAGGGGCUGGGCUGGGCUGGGCAGAGCUUCCCAUCGAACCUGCCUCUCACACACCACCCAGCCCCAAAACUCGCUUUAAGAAAACCUUCCAGAACUGAAAGAAAGGAAGGGAGGAAUGUGUUUGUUUGUUUAUCUAAUUAAGCCUUGCUUAUUGUUUCACAGUGCUUCCAGAGCAAAUAUUCUUCCUUGCCUUUUGUAUUGCUCAGAAAAUGGUGAUACUUUCUGUGAUGAUUUUUGCUGAGCCCUGGCCCUGGGGCUGCUGGGGGGAGCGAGGGCUAAGAAAAGGCGGCCACCACAGGUCUGAUGGAGGCCAGCAGCAGCCCAAGCCUUGCGUGUGCCUGGCAAAGCUUUGCCCCUUGCAGCCAACUGUGGUGGCAGCACUGGCUCCCGGCACCCUGCUGUCCUGAGGCUGAUUUCGCGAAUAACGCACGGUUAUCCUCGCCAGCUGCUCGUGAAGACCAAGUGCUGUCAAAAGAAAGCAGCACUGGCUUUGCCCCACCAUUUGCUUGUCCCAGGUGUGCAAUGGAUCCAAAAUAUGUAAGUAAGACAAGUGCGGCUCAUCCCACCACGCCACACGGGCUGCACAACUCACAGGCCAUUAGGGAGAGGGCUGGAGAGGCCCAGCUGAAAUGUCCUUGGAUGCCACCCAGAGGUCAGGUUGAAAAUUUCUGUGCUGAAAAAAGAGGAAACUGGAUCCUUGGGAUGAAAGACUUCAACCGGUGUUUUGAAAAUGACUAUUGACUGUUUUCUGCCAUGCCUUAGUCUAUCUUUCCCCGCCUAGUCUUUCUUUCCCCGCCUGCUGCUCUCUCCACCCCACCACCUCUCCACAACCAAGCCAUGCAUUGUGCCCGCAGUGCAGCCGCAGUGGUGGCACUGGGAACAGAGGUCAUGCUUUGUGUGUCCACCCCCUCAGGGUCACCUUGCCUUGCUUUGCCUGGUGGCACCAUGCCCCCCCCCCUUCACCAGCAGCAGCUCCAGCCCUCCCAGGCGGGUUUCCCUCCCUCAGGAGCAGCCCCACUGCUGGCCCCAUGGGAUGGGGGCACCCUUGGGCAGGACGGAGGGAGCACAAUAGAAAAGGAUGCUUUCAGGCUGUCCUCUUCCAUGCCCAGCUCUCUCCUCCUGCACCUCCAGCAGUGUGUUCCUCUCUCUCCACAGUCCUGCUGGCCCCUGUCCC